AUGGCUGAUAUAUUUAUAUGAAUUUUGGUGGAUCUGCUGAGGUCCAGAAAAUAACGAACGUUAAUAAAUGAUCCAGGAAGAAUUGCCCUGGGUCUGUGUCUGUGUGUGUGUGUGUUGUUCAGUGACAACAUGCACAGUUUAAAAUUGGGCCCUGUUCCUUCCUCUUUUUAGUUUCAAAACACAAAGGCUGUUGGAUGAAGAAUUACUGUGUAAGGAACGGCUUCAUUUUUGAUUAGGGAAAUAAUAUGCUUACUUUUGGGUUUAUGAAGAUCUCGUAACAAUCUGGGGGAGAUGCCGGGGUAAAAAGAGUGAGCUCGGACGAAGGGGUCCGAGAAAAGAACACCGUGAGUUGAGCAAGGUGUUUAACUGACUCAGGAUUUCAGAGAAUCGAGUCAGCUGUGAUCUUGAGUUUUAAGGGUAAGUUGAUUUUAAAGGAAAAUCAAUGGUUACCAUGUUGAAGUAAUUCUGAUGAUAUUACUAGAUGUGUUGUGAUACAAGUAAAGAAUAAGUUGUGUAAAUGUGGACACACGAUUGUGUUGAGAUGUAUGGAUCGGCUGCGGUCCACCUGAUAAGUGAAUACUGGGUAAACUGAGACAAUAAACUGUUUUUAAAUCUUCACUGGCUGCAGUGAGAUACGUGUGCUGAAGAUUACUGGACCCGGCGAGAAACAGUUUCUGAAUUUUGAGGAGAAUUCUGAAGCACUGAGGUUGAAUUUUCUCUGUGCUUGGUGCGCUGUGUGGACUUAUAUCAGAGUUAUAAGUCCAAAGGUUAUGACCUGGAGGUCAUUCAUGGUGUUUAAAGAAGAACAGGAAUUAGAAAAGGAUAUUUAAUGUCAUAUUUUGUGUAAAUUGAGGAAAACUCACCACAUGUGUUCACCUUUUUUUCAUUUAAAGGGACACAGACAUUAACACACACACACACAGUACUUGGGUGUGAGUUACUUCCUCUCUUAAUUUUAAACUGCAACACGUGUUCAUUGAACUAGAAUUUCAGCAGUGGAUGAGACAGGAUUUAGGUUAGGGCUAGUCAAAGAUAAAGAUGACUUUUAUUAGUCCUACCGGUGGGAAAUUUGGUUUGUUAAAGUAAAAGUGCAAAGUUAUGCAGCAGAAAUUAGAAAACACUGGAAUGCAAUAAAAUAAAGUAGAAUAGAAUAAAAUAGAAUACCAAUACUAUAUAUAGCUGAGUAAGAAAAUACAAAAUACAACUUUGUCAAAGAAAGAAGUGCACAUAUAGCAGUCUUAUUGCACGUAUGAGGGUUCUUGUAAAGUAAAAGAUUAUGCUCAAAGUUUUAUGCCCUGGAGGCCAAGAGUCGUGUGUAGAGAAGAACAUGACUUAGAAACGGACAUUUAAGGUCACAUUUUGUCUAAGAUGGG
ensembl:lncRNA